rnacentral:lncRNA from 1 species
GUUGAGGGAGAGGUUGUUGUCCUGGCACCACAUUGCCAGUUGCCUUACCUCCUCGUCGUACUACAACCGUGGUAUCAUAAGCAAACUUGAUGAUGGAGUUGGUGUCGUGCAAAGCCACACAGUCAUGGGUGAACAGGGAGUACAGCAGAGGGCUGAGGACACAACCAUGGGGGGCUCCUGGGUUAAGAGUCAGUGUGGGGUGUCGGAAGAACAACAAACCAAAUAACUUAUUUGGCAUGGAGGACUGUGUUAUGGUCACCCAAAGGUCAUCAGAUCCAUUGAUGAGCUGGAACAAUGUAGGGAGCAUUAUGAAAACCAACUGGGUCUGUGAGAACCAGACGCACAAUCAACUGGGUCUGUGAGAACCAGACGCACAAUCAACUGGGUCUGUGAGAACCAGAUGCACAAUCAACUGGGUCUGUGAGAACCAGACGCACAAUCAACUGGGUCUGUGAGAACCAGAUGCACAAUCAACUGGGUCUGUGAGAACCAGACGCACAAUCAACUGGGUCUGUGAGAACCAGACGCACACAAUCAACUGGGUCUGUGAGAACCAGACGCACAAUCAACUGGGUCUGUGAGAACCAGACGCACAAUCAACUGGGUCUGUGAGAACCAGAUGCACAAUCAACUGGGUCUGUGAGAACCAGACGCACAAUCAACUGGGUCUGUGAGAACCAGACGCACACAAUCAACUGAGUCUGUGAGAACCAGACGCACAAUCAACUGGGUCUGUGAGAACCAAACACACAAUCAACUGGGUCUGUGAGAACCAGACGCACAAUCAACUGGGUCUGUGAGAACCAGACGCACAAUCAACUGGGUCUGUGAGAACCAGACGCACAAUCAACUGGGUCUGUGAGAACCAGACGCACAUCCAUGUUGAACACUAGUUGUAAUGGUUAUGGCUCCAUGGUUAAAGAAAGAGAUGUCUGGGAUUAUCCAACUGACAGGGUCUCUUUCAUGUUUGAAUCCCAGAUUGCACCUUUAUUAAGACUAUCUGGUGGAGUUGUGUUGGAUAUCCAUGUGAGGUUUUAAGCUGUUUUAGUUUUUAUUUGACAACAUUAUAUCAGAAAUGAACAUUAUAUCAGAAAUUAUUAUGGACUCCAGUGCACUAAAUAUACAGUAGAACUGAUCAGGUGUUAUAUUAGUAGUGAAGUAUACAUACAUACCAUUGUGUUUAUUUAACUAAGCAAGUCCGUUAAGAACAAAUUCUUAUUUACAAUGACGGUCUAGGUAACAGUGGGAUAACUGCCUUGUUCAGGGGCAGAAGGACAGAUGUUUACCUUGUCAGCUCAGAGAUUCAAUCCAGCAACUUUUCAGUUAUUGGCCCAAUGCUCUAACCACUAGGCUACAUGCCGCCCCAUUUAAUGUGUAUGUUGGGGCCUAGUCCCUCAUCCAGCGACUGUCAACACAACACCUCAGUCGUUACACCAAGAGAUAUGAAACCCUUGACAAGGUUGCUAGGUGUUGGGUUAAGGUCACUACAGUAUAAACUCAGUAUAGACCAGGUUAUGAGGUUGCUAGGUGUUGGGUUAAGGUCACUACAGUAUAAACUCAGUAUAGACCAGGUUAUGAGGUUGCUAGGUGUUGGGUUAAGGUCACUACAGUAUUAACUCAGUAUAAACCAGGUUAUGAAGUUGCUAGGUGUUGGGUUAAGGUCACUACAGUAUAAACUCAGUAUAAACCAGGUUAUGAGGUUGCUAGGUGUUGGGUUAAGGUCACUACAGUAUUAACUCAGUAUAGACCAGGUUAUGAGGUUGCUAGGUGUUGGGUUAAGGUCACUACAGUAUAAACUCAGUAUAGACCAGGUUAUGAGGUUGCUAGGUGUUGGGUUAAGGUCACUACAGUAUUAACUCAGUAUAAACCAGGUUAUGAGGUUGCUAGGUGUUGGGUUAAGGUCACUACAGUAUAAACUAGGUUAUGGG